CCCUGACCUGCAGCUAAGGCCCCUAAUUCGUGGCUAAGUGGGAAAGCAUGUGGGACGGCCAAAACAACCAGGAUGUUGGCUUAGAAGCAGCCAUCAUUUAAAGAUAGCGUAACAGCUCACUGGUCUAGAUAAGCUGUCCUGCGGCGAAGAUGUAACGGGGCUCAAGCCACGAGCCGAAGCUCAGGAUGCACAGCGAUGUGCGUGGUAGCGGAGCGUUCUGUGAUAUAGCUCAUCAUGUCUUAUCUGCAGCGAUGCGGAGACGGACAUGGAGAGCUUUCUGUGAAGCCGGGCUGUAAGGCAUCCGGUGGAGAGAUCAGAAGCGAGAAUGUUGACAUGAGUAGCGACAAACAGGGUGAGAAACCCUGUCGCCGAAAGUCCAAGGGUUCCUGCUUAAAGCUAAUCUGAGCAGGGUAAGCCGGCCCCUAAGGCGAGGCCGAAAGGCGUAGUCGAUGGGAACCAGGUUAAUAUUCCUGGGCCAGUGGGAUGUGACGGAUCGCAGAUGUAGUUUGCCCUUAUCGGAUUGGGUGGGCUGCUGAGCGGUUCCUGGAAAUAGCCCCACAUCAGACCGUACCCUAAACCGACACAGGUGGACUGGUAGAGUAUACCAAGGCGCUUGAGAGAACCACGUUAAAGGAACUCGGCAAAAUGCCUCCGUAAGUUCGCGAGAAGGAGGCCCCAUAUGUGCGCAAGCAUGUGUGGGGGGCACAAACUAGGGGGUGGCGACUGUUUACUUAAAACACAGGGCUGUGCGAAGCCGUAAGGCGACGUAUACAGUCUGACGCCUGCCCGGUGCUGGAAGAUUAAGAGGAGGGGUGCAAGCUCUGAAUUGAAGUCCCAGUAAACGGCGGCCGUAACUAUAACGGUCCUAAGGUAGCGAAAUUCCUUGUCGGGUAAGUUCCGACCUGCACGAAUGGCGUAACGAUCUCCCCGCUGUCUCUAACGUGGACUCAGCGAAAUUGAACUGUGUGUCAAGAUGCACACUACCCGCGGUUAGACGGAAAGACCCCAUGAACCUUUACUCUAGCUUUGCAUUGGCAUCAGGAAUGUGAUGUGCAGGAUAGGUGGUAGGCAUCGAAGCGGGGACGCCAGUCUUCGUGGAGCCUCCCUUGAGAUACCACCCUUCGCCAUCUUGAUAUCUAACCGCGGCCCGUUAUCCGGGUCCGGGACCCUGCAUGGUGGGGAGUUUGACUGGGGCGGUCGCCUCCCAAAUUGUAACGGAGGCGCGCGAUGGUUGGCUCAGACCGGUCGGAAAUCGGUCGUUGAGUGCAAUGGCAGAAGCCAGCCUGACUGCAAGACUGACAAGUCGAGCAGAGACGAAAGUCGGUCAUAGUGAUCCGGUGGUCCCAAGUGGGAGGGCCAUCGCUCAACGGAUAAAAGGUACUCUGGGGAUAACAGGCUGAUGAUGCCCAAGAGUCCAUAUCGACGGCAUCGUUUGGCACCUCGAUGUCGGCUCAUCUCAUCCUGGGGCUGGAGCAGGUCCCAAGGGUAUGGCUGUUCGCCAUUUAAAGAGGUACGUGAGCUGGGUUUAGAACGUCGUGAGACAGUUCGGUCCCUAUCUGCCGUGGGUGCAGGAGACUUGAGAAGAGUUGACCCUAGUACGAGAGGACCGGGUUGAACGAACCACUGGUGGACCAGUUAUCGUGCCAACGGUAGUGCUGGGUAGCUAUGUUCGGACAGGAUAACCGCUGAAGGCAUCUAAGCGGGAAGCCCCCUUCAAAACAAGGUCUCCCUUGAGGGCCGUGGAAGACCACCACGUCGAUAGGCCAGAGGUGUAAGUGCAGCAAUGCAUUCAGCUGACUGGUACUAAUUGCCCGAUUGGCUUGAUCUG
rnacentral:rRNA from 1 species